GGUACAAUAUGAUCCAAAUACUAUGUUUAAUCAACAAUACAACACAAUAAAUAAUGCACGAGCCACACCAUUGCAGUCUUCGUCAUCGUUGUAUUCAACCAAUUCAACGAGACCAACUAAUGCUGGUUUUAUUCCAAAUGUCGCUUCUGCAUUCCAAGCACAAGUAGUGGCUGGUGCGUCCGGUAAUACAUUUGGCAUACCAAAUGCAUUUGGUUCUCCACAAAACGCCCCACCUCCAAAUAUGCAAAACUAUACUUAUCAGUCUCGUCAAGUUCAUUACCCGAAAGAAAAUAUAAGUAGUGGUGGUAAUGACGAUUUUCAAAAGUCUGGUGUAUCUAAUCAACGGGACAUUGGAAAUG